rnacentral:rRNA from 1 species
GACGUAGGGCGCGAGCGUUGUCCGGAUUUAUUGGGCGUAAAGAGCUCGUAGGCGGCUUGUUGCGUCGAAUGUGAAAACCCACGGCUCAACUGUGGGCUUGCAUUCGAUACGGGCAGGCUAGAGUUCGGUAGGGGAGACUGGAAUUCCUGGUGUAGCGGUGAAAUGCGCAGAUAUCAGGAAGAACACCAAUGGCGAAAGCAGCUCUCUGGGACGGUACUGACGCUGAGACGCGAAAGCGUGGGGAGCGAACAGG